ACGGCUGGCGGCGUGCUUAAUACAUGCAAGUCAACUUGACUUUAGAUAGCAAUAUCGAAAAGUAGGGUGGCGCACGGGUGCGUAACGCGUAGGUAAUCUGCCCUGAGGUCUGACAUAACCCGUCGAAAGGCGGGCUAACAUCAGAUGAUAUAUAAUCACGACAUCGUGGAAAUAUCAAAUCUUCGGAGCCUUGGGAUGAGCCUGCGUCUGAUUAGGUAGUUGGCGGAGUAAUAGCCCACCAAGCCUACGAUCAGUAGCUGGUCUGAGAGGAUGAUCAGCCACACUGGAACUGAGACACGGUCCAGACUCCUACGGGAGGCAGCAGUAAGGAAUAUUGCUCAAUGGGGGGAAACCCUGAAGCAGCAACGCCGCGUGAAGGAUGAAAUACUUUUGUAUGUAAACUUCUGUAAGAUGGGAAAAAUAUUCUCCUCGGGAGAAUUGAUUGUACCAUCAGAGUAAGCCCCGGCUAACUACGUG
rnacentral:rRNA from 1 species